AAAACGACUCUCGGCAACGGAUAUCUCGGCUCUCGCAUCGAUGAAGAAAUAAAAAAAACCGGAACCCCAAAAAAAGUCGAAACCCUGGUGUAAAAUUCCAAAAAAUUCCCCGUUGAACCAUCGAAGUCUUUUGAACGCCAAAGUUGCGGCCCUUAAACCUUUUGGCCGAGGGCCACGUCUGCCUGGG
rnacentral:rRNA from 1 species